rnacentral:rRNA from 1 species
AACGAACGCUGGCGGCAUGCCUAACACAUGCAAGUCGAACGAGACCUUCGGGUCUAGUGGCGCACGGGUGCGUAACGCGUGGGAACCUGCCCUUAGGUUCGGAAUAACUCCCCGAAAGGGGUGCUAAUACCGGAUAAUGUCUUCGGACCAAAGAUUUAUCGCCUUUGGAUGGGCCCGCGUUGGAUUAGCUAGUUGGUAGGGUAAAAGCCUACCAAGGCGACGAUCCAUAGCUGGUCUGAGAGGAUGAGCAGCCACACUGGGACUGAGACACGGCCCAGACUCCUACGGGAGGCAGCAGUGGGGAAUAUUGGACAAUGGGCGAAAGACUGAUCCAGCAAUGCCGCGUGAGUGAUGAAGGCCUUAGGGUUGUAAAGCUCUUUUACCCGGGAUGAUAAUGACAGUACCGGGAGAAUAAGCUCCGGCUAACUCCGUG